rnacentral:rRNA from 1 species
GAUGAACGCUGGCGGCGUGCCUAAUACAUGCAAGUCGAGCGAACGGACGAGAAGCUUGCUUCUCUGAUGUUAGCGGCGGACGGGUGAGUAACACGUGGAUAACCUACCUAUAAGACUGGGAUAACUUCGGGAAACCGGAGCUAAUACCGGAUAAUAUUUUGAACCGCAUGGUUCAAAAGUGAAAGACGGUGUUGCUGUCACUUAUAGAUGGAUCCGCGCUGCAUUAGCUAGUUGGUAAGGUAACGGCUUACCAAGGCAACGAUGCAUAGCCGACCUGAGAGGGUGAUCGGCCACACUGGAACUGAGACACGGUCCAGACUCCUACGGGAGGCAGCAGUAGGGAAUCUUCCGCAAUGGGCGAAAGCCUGACGGAGCAACGCCGCGUGAGUGAUGAAGGUCCUCGGAUCGUAAAACUCUGUUAUUAGGGAAGAACAUAUGUGUAAGUAACUGUGCACAUCUUGACGGUACCUAAUCAGAAAGCCACGGCUAACUACGUG